CCACCAGGACCACAUCAUAAACCUUUUUUUAUGCAGUUGCAAUCAGCGUCAGUAUAACAAAUGUAAAUCAUUUACAACUUUCAACAACGGAUCUCUUGGUUCUGGCAUCGAUGAAGAACGCAGCGAAAUGCGAUACGUAGUGUGAAUUGCAGAAUUCAGUGAAUCAUCGAAUCUUUGAACGCACAUUGCGCCCUUUGGUAUUCCAAAGGGCAUGCCUGUUCGAGCGUCAUUUGUACCCUCAAGCUUUGCUUGGUGUUGGGCGUUUUUUUUUGUCUUUGGUUGCCAAAGACUCGCCUUAAAAGGAUUGGCAGCCGGCCUACUGGUUUCGCAGCGCAGCACAUUUUUGCGCUUGCAAUCAGCAAAAGAGGACGGCAAUCCAUCAAGACUCCUUCUCACGUUUGACCUCGGAUCAGGUAGGGA
rnacentral:rRNA from 1 species